rnacentral:rRNA from 1 species
UNNNNAGAUAGCCANGCAUGNUCUAGUACAUGCCGUAUUAAGGCGAAACCGCGAAUGGCUCAUUAAAUCAGUUAUGGUUCCUUGGAUCGUACUUCACUACUUGGAUAACUGUGGCAAUUCUAGAGCUAAUACAUGCAGCAGAGCUCCGACCUUCGGGGACGAGCGCUUUUAUUAGACCAAAACCAAUCGGACCUCGUGUCCGUCCUCCGUGGUGACUCUGUAUAACUUUGGGCUGAUCGCACGGGCCCGUCCCGGCGACGUAUCUUUCAAGUGUCUGCCUUAUCAACUUUCGAUGGUAGGUUACGCGCCUACCAUGGUCAUAACGGGUAACGGGGAAUCAGGGUUCGAUUCCGGAGAGGGAGCCUGAGAAACGGCUACCACAUCCAAGGAAGGCAGCAGGCGCGCAAAUUACCCACUCCCAGAACGGGGAGGUAGUGACGAAAAAUAACAAUACGGGACUCUUUUGAGACCCCGUAAUUGGAAUGAGUACACUCUAAAUCCUUUAACGAGGAUCUAUUCGAGGGCAAGUCUGGUGCCAGCCGCCGCGGUAAUUCCAGCUCGAAUAGCGUAUAUUAAAGUUGUUGCGGUUAAAAAGCUCGUAGUUGGAUCUCAGUUCCAGACGGGUGGUCCGCCAAACGGUGGUUACUGCCCGUUCUGAACAGCCCGCCGGUUUCUCUUGAUGAUCUUCACCGGUUGUCUCGGGUGACCGGCAAGUUUACUUUGAAAAAAUUAGAGUGCUCAAAGCAGGCGCGACGCCUGAAUAAUGGUGCAUGGAAUAAUGGAAUAGGACCUCGGUUCUAUUUUGUUGGUUUUCGGAACCCGAGGUAAUGAUUAAGAGGGACAGACGGGGGCAUUCGUAUUGCGACGCUAGAGGUGAAAUUCUUGGACCGUCGCUAGACGACUACUGCANANUUUUUUUUUNNGGAAAAAAAA